rnacentral:lncRNA from 1 species
UUUCUAAUAUGGUAUCAAGAUAAUAUUUUUCUGAUAUUCAUUUUCAUCAAUUUUCUAAGUCUCCUUUCAAUCUUUCCCAAGAAGACUAUUCAAUACAGCAAUAGCAUUCACGUGAAUGCAUUGGUAGAAUCACAAUGUGUCAUUAAUUGAGUGUUACAAUACAUUCAAAAUCAAUUUCAUACUACAAACCUUAUCUCCUAUCCAAACCUUCAGCACAUGUGUCUCACUCUUAUUGGCACUCUGCAGAUUAUGCUUUAUCUCAAUCUCAAGAAAGAUAAUCCAAAUAAUCAGAUUAAUCUUCAUAAAACUUAUUUCUUUCUCUCUCAUCACAAUUGUAGUUCUCUUGAUUCUCUCUUAAACAUUAAUCAAUUUCUUGAUUUUACCCAUAAAUAUUUUAAUAUUUGUUCAUAUAUUCAAAUAUCAAAAACCCAGAAAUUUACAAAAUAACCUUUUACCUAGAAAACAAACGCAUAUCUUCUUCGUCAUCUUCAACUCAGUCAGAAGUCUUUGAAGAUUCCUUCUUUCUUUCAAAGAUCUUGCAAACAGGAAAUUGCCCAACCAACUUUUCCCCAAAAACCAACUGCAUAUCUUCAUCUUCCUCUUCAACUAACCCAUAAAUAUUUUAAGACUUCUUCACAUCUUCAAUGACCGGAAACCCAGCCAAAUCAUUUUUUACCUUGCAACACAAAUUUAUAACUUCAAACAUUCAUCAAAGUCCAACCCAUAAAUCACCUCAAACCUCUUACAUUCAAAGACCCAACCCAUAUAUCAUCUACGCCCUCAAAUCUAAAAUCUCCCCUUCAUAGUCUUCAUGAUAAUAAGGAAAUAUGUGUUUUCAACCUUCUUCCCUUCAUCGCGUAUCGACAUAGAACUCUAAAUCGUUAUUUGAUUCUCUCUUCUUUUUCUAUUUCGUAUAUGCUAUAAAAAUAAUAGAUAUGAAAAGAACAUAUAUAAAAAUAAUAGACCUGGUAUAAAAUUAUUAACCAUAAUUUGUAUUUUCAUAAAUAUGGUAGAUGUUGUUCUAAUAUAUGUGUUCAUCUUUGUUUCAGUAGAUCUACAACCUGAAAAAAAUAAAAGAAGUGAAAAAGAUGUUAAUAAGAUGAAAAGGAGAAAACUUUUAUGUUAAAACUUACACUUUUAAUAUUGUUUUAAAGCCGGAUUCUGUCUUUGUAUAAAUCUACAACCUGAACAGACAAAAAAUGUUAAAACUU